AUAAUAACCAGACAGAAGGGCUAUCUUCGGCACGCCGAAGAUUUAAUACUCUUGCAGACCCAACCUUUUCAUAAUGCUCAUAGUGCUUUGCCCGUAUCUAAGAAGCACAGGGAAAAUAGUUAAUGCCGAGUAUGGUUAAAAUGUCAUGAAAAAAAAAGUUUCCAUACAACAACUUAAUUUCGACCAUUCGUUCCUAUGGCAGCUAUAUGAUAAAGUGGUCCGAUCUUAAUAGGAUUUUGCAUAUAUAUGAGGAUUAUAGAAAAACUAAUAAAUGCCGAGUUUGAUCAAGAUAUCUUUAUAAGCAAAAAUGUUUUUCAUGCAAGAACCUACUUUUCGACCGAUCGUUCCUAUGGUAGCUAUAUGAUUUAGUGGUCCGAUCCAGCUGGUUUUGACAUAUGUACUGCGUGCAACAGAAAGAGGCACUUCUGAAAAGUUUCAUAAAGAUAGCUUUCAAACUGAGAGAGACUAGUUCGCAUAGAAACAGACCGACGGACAUGGCUAUAUCAACUCGCCUGUUGAUACUGAUCAAGAAUAUAUAUACUUUAUGGGCUCGGAAAUGCCUACUUCUAUGCGUUACACAUUUCACGACAAAAUUAUAAUACCCUAUGCAAGGGUAUAAACAGCAAGAGAGCAACAGAAAGUGUCCGUAAAUUUUGCGCGAUUUUUUUAUACAACUUCUAAUAAAAUUUCGGAAAUGUGAAAAGAAAAGUAAAUCGAAGAACGUGCUUUGGAGUAGAUUUUGUGGAAUUCAAUCAAGUAACACAAGAGCGCGCGAGCAUCAACUUCCAAUAAAAUGCACUAUAUGGCGACUGGAAAAUCAAAAGUUGUUCAAUUGGAGUAUUCGUAUUGGAAUCAACUGAAGCAAUAAUUAAAUAAUUUCUCAACAUCAAGGCGCAAUUGCUUAUUAAUUAACGUCGCUUAAAUACUUCAAAAUUCUGUUGGCAAAGUAACAGAGAGCAGACGGACCACAUGACGCAUGGUAAAUGAUUUGCUCAAGCGAAUAUGAAGCAAAUUGAAAUCGCUUAAUUUAUUUGACAUGAAUUGAAAAUCAAGCGAAAUGCCAUUAAACCGCAUAUACGCAUAGCACACAAUCGGAAUUCAGGCAAAGGACUCGCAAUUAUGGCACGUCAAAACCGGAAAUGGUAAAGUGGCAAAGCGGAAAUGGCAGGCACCAAAAUGCAAAUUUCUAUAAAAAGGAAAUUAUAAAAAUAUUUGCCCAGUUGUUUGGCAAAAAAAAAAAAAAAGAAGAAGGAAAUAUUUCUUUAACUGUGGCAACAGAAAUUGCACGUGGGCCGUUUGUCUGCGCUGUGCUCCCAGCUGAAUCCACUUGAAAGGACUCUACCCACUUGGGCCAAAAGGCUCGACGCCAAGGUGGGGCAAUUCAAGUGGAGCGUCUGGCGUAAAGUUUUUUGCAUUCGGCUUCUUCAGGUUUUUUAUUUUUUGGCCAGAUACUACAAAUAAGAAGUAGCUCUAUAUAUGCAGAGAGUGCGGCUUGUCGGCGACAGCAAGUGAAAGCCGUCAAGAUGAGAUUGGAAAGUCUUGUAAUAGGCAUGUGGCCAAAUAUCACCAAAUGGAUGCGCAACCCUCAACGUCGGGGCCUGCUACUGCGAAUUUCAAAUUCGAACAUAAAAGU